GACGAACGCUGGCGGCGUGCCUAAUACAUGCAAGUCGAACGAGACCGACCGGUGCUUGCGCUGGUCAAUCUAUUGGCGGACGGGUGAUUACCACGUGGGUAACCUGCCCACCAGAGGGGGAUAACAUUCGGAAAUGGAUGCUAAAACCGCAUAGGUCUUCGAACCGCAUGGUUCCAAGAUGAAAAGAGGCGCAUGCUUCUGCUGUUGUCUGGACCGGCGGUGCAUUAGCUAGUUUGUGAGGUAACGGUUCACCACGGCCGUGAUGAAUAGCCGCCCUGAGAGGGUGAACGGACAGCUGGGGACUGAGACACGGCCCAAACACCGACGGGAGGCAGCAGUAGGGAAUCUUCCGCGAUGGAGGAAAGUCUGACGGAGCAACGCCGCGUGAGUGAAGAAGGUGUUCGGAUCGUAAAACUCUGUUGUUAGAGAAGAACAAGUGCUAGAGUAACUGGGAGCGCAUUGACGGUAUCAAAAGAGAAAGCCACGGCUAACUACGUG
rnacentral:rRNA from 1 species